rnacentral:rRNA from 1 species
UACGUAGGAUGCGAGCGUUGUCCGGAUUUACUGGGCGUAAAGGGCUCGUAGGCGGGAACAUGCGUCCGGAAGCAAAUUUCACGGCUCAACCGUGGAGCUUUUCCGGAUACGGUGUUUCUUGAGGGCAGAAGAGGAGAAUGGAAUUCCCAGUGUAGCAGUGAAAUGCGUAGAUAUUGGGAAGAACACCAGUGGCGAAGGCGAUUCUCUGGUCUGUCACUGACGCUGAGGAGCGAAAGCGUGGGUAG